UUCAAAUUCUUCGUUAAGAAAGGUCAGAUGAUGCAGAUUUCAAAGCUGUAUAAAUUCUCUGACUCCUCAAACUUGUCCCUAAAAUCAACAGCCAUGGGCUCCUCUAAGCAACUCCGUUGCAUUCUGAAUAAUAAAAUAAUUGAUGCUCACUGUUCUGGCCCUACCAGCAGUUCUUAUGUUAAAGUAUGCAGAGACUUUUAUUUUGCCUAUUGUUUACACCCCACAUUGUAGCUGCAGGAAAUCUGUAGAGAGGAGAAGAAGAAAAAGUUAGACAGCAUGGUUAUAAGCAGCAUGGAAGUUUGUUGUUGUGCUCCUCCUUCUGUGUAGCUGUUCAAAGGCAUUCUCUUUUCACAAUUUUCCAUAUAAAGAGUCAACUUCACCCUCGGUGUCCCGGACUUAUUGUGUGGAGUUGUUUAGCUUGCUGGAUAGCUGAAUUAGGACAUUCUGUGAAGCCAGUACAGUGAAAAGAGAGACUUGUGAAGAGCUACUGAUGACCAAACUGCAGUAUUGUGCCGGCAGCCCGAACCAGUACGACAACUGCAACGUCGCUAGGAAGGAUUGAGGUAAAACACAUCCAUAGUAGCCAUGGACAGAGCAAAUGCAUCAGUCAGAUCAUCAGAUUCCCAUAUGAGUAGUGCUUCAUGUAAAGUUGCAUUGGCAGCAGCCACAGCACGUGCCAGAGCCCAAGCUGCGCAUGCAAGAGCUGCUUAUUCACGUAAAGAGAUUGAAUUAAAGAUGGAAAAAGCCCGUCUUGAUGCAACACUCAUCGCCUUAGAAAGGGAGAGAGAGGCAGAAGCCGCCAUGGCUGAAGCAGCAGUAAUGGAGGCUGCAGCCGUAGACUUUGAAGAUGAGUGCCGCAGUCGUGGACCAGAGUUACUGCCCAGGCAAAGUGCAGAACGGCGUACUGAGGAAUAUGUAGAAAGACACAGCCAUCUCAGUGGCAGCUCACAUUCACUCGAAGAUUUACACUCAUGUGAGGAGCAAAUACCCCUCAAUCCCAGUGCUUAUGUAUCUGUAUGUGGAGAUAAGGAAGGUGAACUCCCAACUCCUGAUCACCAUCAGCAAUGUGACCAUUUCGCAGAUGGUAACCCCCAUGUGGGCGAUGUUCGUGCGAAUACACAAGUGUGUACUGAGCCGAUGAGUACCCAGCUGCAUGCAGGCUUACCUGCUCACACACCCCGGCGUGCUGAACAAAGCGCGCUCAGGUCAGGCUUACCUGCUCACACAUCCAGGCACGCUGACCACAGUCCACUCAGGUCAGGCUUACCUGCUUACACCUCCAGGCGUGCUGACCACAGCGCACUCAGGUCAGGCUUACCUGCUCACACAUCCAGGAACGCUGACCACGGUCCACUCAGGUCAGGCUUACCUGCUCACACGUCCGGGCAUGCUCACCACAGCCCACUCAGGUCGGGUUUACCUGCUCACACAUCCAGACACGCUGACUACAGCCAUUUCAGGCCAGGCAUACCAGUUUAUACACACAGGCACAACGACCACAGCCCCACCACAUCUAGGGCUGCACACUGCCCCAGCGACACAGCCACAUCUGACUUAGCGAGGUACCUAGCACGAAGUCAGCUAGUGUCAUCAGGACUAACCAGGUUUGAUGAUAAGCCAGGAAAUUACUUAUCCUGGAAGAGCUCAUUCCUGAACACCAUUGACAGCCUAGAUCUUACAGCAGGAGAAGAGAUGGAUUUAUUAAUAAGAUGGCUAGGCCCAGAAUCUGCAGCACAUGCAAGGCGUAUUAGAUCAGUGAAUGUGAGAGAUCAAGCAGCAGGCUUAUGGCUUGUGUGGGAGAGACUGGAGGAGAUGUAUGGCUCACCUGAAGCUAUAGAGGGCGCUCUCUUCACUAAACUCGAUCAAUUCCCCAAAAUAUCAAACAAGGAGCAUCAUAAACUUAGGGAGCUGUCUGAUUUGCUGUUAGAGAUUCAUUCUGCAAAACGUGAAGGAUACUUACCUGGCCUAUCCUAUCUCAACACAGCAAGGGGCAUAAACCCAAUAGUGGAGAAACUGCCAUACACGCUCCAGGACAAGUGGGUAAUGGAAGGCUCCCGAUACAAACAAGAAUUCAGGGUCCCUUAUCCUCCAUUUGAAUUCUUUUUACAGUUUGUACACAGGCAAGCAAAGGCACGCAAUGACCCAAGCUUUAGUCUUCCUCUCUUAAGUACAGCAGUCAGGAAAGAUAAGUUCAGUGAAAGCAGCCGAAGGACAGUUUCUGUGCAUAAAACUGAUGUUGCACACUCCGACUCCGCAUCCACUGCCGAAGACCCAGAGAAGCAAUGUCCUAUGCAUCAAAAACCACACUCCCUGCAAGUGUGCCGCGGCUUCAGGGAAAAGCUAAUGGAUGAACGAAAGAGAAUACUAAAGGAGAAUAACAUAUGUUUUAAAUGCUGCGCGUCAAAUAAGCAUGUAGCCCGAGACUGUGAGGCAGCCAUCAAAUGUGCUGAGUGUGACAGCCAUAGACACCCAACAGCGCUGCACCCAGGCCCAGCUCCGUGGGUCUCCAAGACCUCUCCACCCCCAUCAGGGAAUGGCGGGGAGAGUGAUGAAGCAUUAGAAACUGCUGUGGUUUCCAAAUGCACGGAGGUAUGUGGGGAAGGCUUCAAUGGCAAAUCGGGCUCCAAGAUAUGUCUUGUGACGGUCUACCCGGCAGACUGCCGCAACCAGGGCAAAAGGAUGUACGCCAUGCUGGAUGACCAAAGCAAUAGGUCGCUGGCACGCUCAGAGUUUUUUGAUAUCUUCCAUGUAGGCGGGCCCACAUACUCUUACACUCUAAAAACCUGCUCUGGUGUUGGUGACGCGUCCGGCCACCGAGCUACAGGCUUCGUCAUCGAACCUGCAGAUGGUGACAUCAGCCUAACUCUGCCCACACUCCUGGAGUGUAACAUGAUUCCCAACAACAGAGACGAAAUCCCCACUCAAGCCGCCGCGCACAGCCACCCUCACCUCAGAGCUAUAGCCAAUGAAAUACCAGAAGUGGACAUGAAUGCUGAGAUCCUGCUGCUUCUGGGCAGGGACAUGCUGAGAGCGCACAAGGUGCGUAAACAGAUCAACGGACCACAUGACACACCCUACGCACAGAGGCUGGACUUAGGAUGGGUCAUAGUUGGCGAUGUGUGCCUGGGCAGCACACAUCGGCCUCCCGAAGUCACCAGCAUGAAAACAUACAUCCUUGAAAAUGGCAGGCCAAGCCACUUUCCCCCAUGUGAGAACCACUUGAAGGUAAAGGAGAAAAUCUGUUCCCCUAAUCAGCCCCAGCCUGUCAGCCGUGUGACAUACAGUGACAACCUGGGCCUAUCGGUUUUCCAGCAAACCAAGGAUGAUCACAAGCUUGCGUCAUCAAUGGAAGAUCUCCUAUUCCUUGAAACAAUGGAAAAUGAAUUCUUCCAGGAUUCGGCUAACAGUUGGGUGGCCCCGCUACCGUUCCGCCAACCCAGGAUGUGUCUGCCUAAUAACCGCCAAUAUGCCAUGGGUCGGCUGAAGUCUCUGCACCGAACACUCAACAAAAAUCCAGAGAUGAAAUCUCAUUUUAUGGACUUUAUGCAAAAAAUGCUGGACAGCCACCACGCAGAGCUUGCUCCUCCCAUGCAAGAUGGGAAGGAGUAUUGGUACCUGCCCUUUUUUGGUGUCUACCACCCACAAAAACCCUCACAGAUCCGUGUGGUGUUUGAUUCGAGUGCACAGUUUGAAGGCAAGUCACUCAACAACGUGCUGCUCUCUGGGCCGAACAUGAACAAUAGCCUGCUAGGGGUUCUUAUAAGGUUCAGGAAGAACUCAGUUGCAUUCACAGCUGACAUACAACAAAUGUUUCAUUGUUUUCUCGUCCGAGAAGACUGCAGGGAUGUUCUACGCUUUCUCUGGCACAGAGAUAAUGACCUGAGUAAAGAGGUGGUGGACUACAGAAUGAGGGUGCAUGUCUUUGGAAACAGUCCCUCUCCUGCUGUGGCCAUCUACGGAUUACGAAGAGCUGCCCGCCAGGGAGAAGAACUGUAUGGCAGUGAUGUGCGGUACCUCACUGAUCGAGAUUUCUAUGUGGAUGAUGUCCUCAAGUCCGUCUCCACCGUGGAGCAAGCAGUCGAUCUACUCAAAAGAACACAGAAGAUGCUGGCAGCCUCCAACCUCCGGCUCCACAAGGUAGCCUCCAACAAAGCCGAUGUGAUGGAUGCAUUUCCAGUUGAAGAUCGCGCCAAAGACAUCCAGGAUCUUGACCUGUUUGUAGAUGACUUACCAGAUCAGCGAAGCCUCGGGGUGAAAUGGAGCCUCAUGUUAGACCACCUUACCUUUCAUGUUCCUCAGGACGAAAGCCCUUACACACGCAGGGGUGUACUUUCAAUGGUGAACAGCCUCUUCGACCCAUUGGGGUUCUUGGCACCAGUGACUAUCCAGGGUCGGCUAUUGUUAAGAGAGCUGUCAGCACAGGCCUCGGACUGGGACUCACCCCUCCCUGAGGAAAUGCGUGAGAAAUGGACAGAGUGGCGAAGCUCACUGAGCCAUCUCAGCAGCAUUCAUGUGCCCCGCACAUACUUUUCCAUUCCCCCCUCUGAGAUACAAAGCAUUGAACUAUGUGUCUUUUCUGAUGCAUCUGUCAAAGCCAUAUCUGCUGUUGCCUACCUGAGAGUCACUAGCACCAAAGGGACAGUAGAACUGGGAUUCGUCAUGGGUAAAGCGCGGCUCGCCCCUCAGCCCGAACUCACAAUCCCCAGGCUUGAACUGUGCGCAGCGGUCAUGGCUGUUGAAAUCGCAGAGGUAAUAAGUGAAGAAAUAGACCUCCCACUCAACUCCGUCAUCUUUUACACAGACAGCAAGGUUGUCCUGGGCUACAUAUUCAACCAGUCAAGGCGCUUCUAUGUAUACGUAAACAACAGAGUUCAGCGUAUAAGACAAUCUACCAUGCCUGAACAAUGGCAUUAUGUGCCAACGGAUCGGAAUCCUGCAGACCAUGGCUCACGCUCUGUUCCAGCCUCAAGACUCGGCAACACCUCAUGGCUCACAGGCCCCUCGUUUCUCCUCAACUCUAAGCUUCCACCUGAGCAGCACACAGAGUUUGACCUUAUCAACCCCGAUAAGGACGUAGAAAUCCGCCCUGAAGUCAAAACCCUAUCCACACACGUCACUGAGAGCUUCCUUGACUCCAAACGCUGGGAGCGCUUCUCCACAUGGAGAUCACUGAUCCAUGCUGUGGCCAAACUCAGACACAUAGCCCUGUGUUUCGCUCACUCACAGAAUGAUGGAGACUGUGCUGGGUGGCACAUCUGUAAGAAGGCCAUCUCCAGUGGUACUCUCGAAGAGGCAGAGAACCUUGUCAUCUGGAGUGUGCAGCAUGAAGUCUAUGGAGAGGAGUUCCGUUGCAUCACUGCGAAAUGUGACCUCUCCAAGCAAAGCCCACUCAUCAAGUUGAAUCCCACCAUCGACAGCAGUGGCCUACUGAGAGUAGGUGGUCGUAUCAGUCAGUCAGGCCUUGAAGUAAAGGAAACAAACCCCAUCAUCUUACCUGGCAGUCAUCACAUCACCACUCUUAUUGUACGACACCAUCAUGAGAGAGUGCAGCACCAGGGCAGGCACUUUACAGAGGGUGCUGUCAGAGAGAGCGGCCUGUGGAUAAUGGGAGCAAAGAGGUGUAUUGGGAAGAUAUUAAACAAAUGUGUGAUUUGCAGACGACUCAGAGGCAAGAUUGAGGUGCAGCAAAUGAGUGAACUACCUGCAGAUCGUCUUCAGCCAGGCCCCCCUUUCUCACAUGUGGGCAUGGACAUGUUCGGGCCAUGGGAAGUGUCCGCAAGGAGAACACGCGGGGGUCAGGCUAAUAGUAAGAGAUGGGCAAUCCUGUUCACCUGUUUAUGCACAAGGGCUGUCCACAUCGAAGUGGUUGAAGAGAUGAGCGCUUCUAGUUUCAUCAAUGCUCUGAGGCGUUUCUUUGCGCUGCGCGGCCCAGCCAAACAGUUGCGCUCAGACUGUGGGACCAACUUUGUUGGUGCAUGCCGAGAAAUGGGCACCAGCAUUGUAGAGCAGAGUGAAGUCCAGAAUUAUCUGCAAGAAGAAAAAUGUUCUUGGAUUUUUAACCCACCCCAUUCAUCCCACAUGGGUGGAGUGUGGGAAUGCAUGAUCGGCGUUGCACGACGCAUACUGGACAGUGUGCUGCUGCGUGCUGGACAAGCACAUCUUACGCAUGAAUCACUCACCACUUUCCUUGCCGAGGUCACAGCCAUAAUUAACGCUCGUCCUUUGAUACCAGUCUCAUCUGACCCUGAGCAUCCCCACAUUCUGUCACCCUCCAUCCUGUUGACCCAGAAAUCAGGUACAUCAGUUCCACCUUUGGGAAGCUGCAGUCCAAGGGAGAUCUUAAAGAAUCAGUGGAAACGUGUACAGCUGCUGGCUGACGAGUUCUGGAAUAGGUGGCGCAAGGAGUAUCUUGGCACUCUGCAGUCACGGCACAAGUGGCAACACAAGAGACUAGAUCUCAAGCCAGGAGACGUUGUUCUUCUCAAGGAGAAACAGGUCAGGAGGAAUGAGUGGCCUAUGGGGGUUGUCGUUAAGACAGUCCCAAGCCAGGAUGGACUAAUAAGGAAGGCUGAAGUCAAGAUUGUUCAGCAAGGAACAACAAAGAACUAUUAUAGACCUAUUUCAGAACUAGUGUUCCUUCUAUCCCCAGAGUAAGGUAUCAUUCUAAUGUGUUAUGGUAUCUCUAAGAUACCAGACGGGGAGUGUUCUGGCCCUACCAGCAGUUCUUAUGUUAAAGUAUGCAGAGACUUUUAUUUUGCCUAUUGUUUACACCCCACAUUGUAGCUGCAGGAAAUCUGUAGAGAGGAGAAGAAGAAAAAGUUAGACAGCAUGGUUAUAAGCAGCAUGGAAGUUUGUUGUUGUGCUCCUCCUUCUGUGUAGCUGUUCAAAGGCAUUCUCUUUUCACAAUUUUCCAUAUAAAGAGUCAACUUCACCCUUGGUGUCCCGGACUUAUUGUGUGGAGUUGUUUAGCUUGCUGGAUAGCUGAAUUAGGACAUUCUGUGAAGCCAGUACACUCACAAAGCAAGAGAAGGCUACAAAAAUGUAGCAAAGUGUUUUCAAGUAGCUGUUUCCUAAGAUCAUAAUGUUAUUAAGAAAUGGCAGUUAAUAGAAACAGUGGAGAUCAAGGUGAGGUCUGGAAGAUGAAGAAACCUUUCUGAAAGAACUGCUCGUUGGAUUGCUAGAAAGGCAAAUAAAAAAACCUGUUUGACUGUAAAUGACCUUCAGAAAGAUUUAGCAGACCCUGGAGUGGUGGUGCACUGUUCUACUAUGCAGCAACACCUGAACAAAUAUGACCUUCAUGAGAGAGUCAUCAGAAGAAAACCUUUCCUGUGUCCUAGCCACAAAAUUCAGUCUGAAGUAUGCAAAUGAACAUCUAAAUAAGCCUGAUGCAUUUUGGAAACAAGUCAUGUGGACUGAUGAAAUCAAAAUAGAACUUUUUGGCCACAAUGUGCAAAGGUAUGUUUGGAGGAAAAAGGGUGCGAAAUUCCAGGAAAAGAACACCUCUCCAACUCUGAAGCAUGGGUGUGGAUCGAUCAUGCUUUGGGGUUGUGUUGCAGCCAGUGGCACAGGGCACAUUUCAUUGGUCAAGGGAAGCAUGGAUUCGAAUAAAUACCAGCAAAUUCUGGAAGCAAACAUCACACCAUCUAUAAAAAGUUGAAGUUAAAAAGAGGAUGCGUCUUACAAUAAGACAAUGAUCCAAAACACACGUCAAAAUCUACAAUGGGAUACCUCAAGAGGCACAAGCUGAAGGUUUUGCCAUGGCCCUCAAAGUCCCCUGACCUAAACAUCAUUGAAAAUCUGUGGAUAGAUCUCAAAAGAGUAGUGCAUGCAAGACAACCCAAGAAACUUGUAGAACUGGAAGCCUUUUGCAAGGACAAAUAUGUGAAAAUCCCCCAGGUAAGAACUGAAAGAUUAUUAGCUGGCUACAAAAAGUGUUUACAAGCUAUGAUACUUGCCAAAGGGGGUGUUACUAGGUAUUAACCAUGCAGGGUGCCCAAACUUUUGCUUCAGGCCCUUUUCCUUUUUUUAUCAUUCUGAAAAUAUAAAAGAUGAAAAUAUAUAUAUUUUUUUGUUUAGAAUAUAAAGGGAAUGAGUCAUCUUUAACUUUAUACCUUUUGGAGUUCAUUUCAUCUUCAACUUGCUUAAAUGUUCACAGGAACAGCAAUUUUGAAGAGGGGUGCCCAAACUUUUGCAUACCACUGUAAAAUUAGAAAAUGGUGUCAAACAAAAUUGAUAGUAUUCCAAUUAGCAUGGAAUGAGAGCCACUGGAACUCCAGAGACAAGCUUCUAAUGCUGCUUGUUCAAUGUUUCUUUCCACCAUAAUAGAAGAUAAUAAAAAUAAUUUUAAAUUUUUAUGGAAUACUUUAGCAAAAUUAACUAGGAAUAAGACCACCACAGAAACAUGCAAACCUUCAAUAUGUCGUAGCAAUGGCUUAAUGAAGUUUUUUCAAUGGCAAAAUUGAAAAUAUUAGGCAAAAAUAUCAAACUACUAAUUUGAAACUAGACAAUUUGAUAAGUAUCCCUGGAGAGAACACUAUGAGCAAUGAUUUGUGUUUUACACUCCUUAAAGAGACCGAACUAAUUUCACUUCUCUCAUCUCAUCUCAUUAUCUCUAGCCGCUUUAUCCUGUCCUACAGGGUCGCAGGCAAGCUGGAGCCUAUCCCAGCUGACUAUGGGCGAAAGGCGGGGUACACCCUGGACAAGUCGCCAGGUCAUCACAGGGCUGACACAGACAACCAUUCACACCUACAGUCAAUUUAGAGUCACCAGUUAACCUAACCUGCAUGUCUUUGGACUGUGGGGGAAACCGGAGCACCCGGAGGAAACCCACGCGGACACAGGGAGAACAUGCAAACUCCACACAGAAAGGCCCUCGCCAGCCACGGGGCUCGAACCCGGACCUUCUUGCUGUGAGGCGACAGCGCUAACCACUACACCACCGUGCCGCCCCUAAUUUCACUUAUUCAAUCAAAAUCUUCAACUUGUGUACUUGCCUAUACAAUUUUUUUCACCCCUUACCUAUAUGAUUCUUUAAACAGAUAACACCAGAAGCAAUCAAACCUCUUUGAAAAACAAUCAGUUAUUCUUUUAGCAAUGGCUAUGUCCCUAAAUCCUUUUACCUAGCAGUUGUCAGACCCUUGAUUAAAGAACCUAACCUCAACCCUUGUCAGCUGUCUCAUUAUAGGCCAAUAUCAAACCUCCCUUUUAUCUCCAAAAUCCUAGAAAAAAC